UAUUAAAAAUUUUAUCUGUUUUUUGUUAAAAAUUAGCAUGGCUGUUAGAAUAAUUAAAUGGUUACACAUGAUGUAUCAUAUAUACUUCAUGUUGACAUACAGGGAUCAAGUUUUAACAAAAAAAUGAAUAAAAUUUUUAAUA
rfam:Gossypium raimondii Chr07_contig_28, whole genome shotgun sequence.